rnacentral:rRNA from 1 species
GCUUACGGCCAUACCAGCCUGGGUACGCCCGAUCUCGUCUGAUCUUGGAAGCUAAGCAGGAUCGGGCCUUGUUAGUACUUGGAUGGGAGACCGCCUGGGAAUACCAGGUGCUGUAAGCA